rnacentral:lncRNA from 1 species
UUUAGCCUGGGGCCCUGUGGAACCGGGGUCUGCAGGCCAGUCUGUGAUGAUGAUGAUGGAGCAGGACUGGCUGCUGCCACCAAGGGGACGGGUGGAGUUACUACUGGGCCAAUGACUGCGGUCCCUGUAGACUCCUGAGACCACUGCGGUGCUGUCCCCUGUCGCACCGCACUGGCGUAGGUUGUUUGAGCAGGGGCAAGAUCGUGAAUAUGCUGGAUGAUCUCCUUUGCAGUUUGUACAGUGUGGAGCAGCAUUACAGUUUUCCGACUGAUGGUCAUUGGCAC